ensembl:snRNA Gm24415 predicted gene, 24415
GUGCUCGCUUCAGCAGCACAUAUACUAAAAUUGGAACGAUACAGAGAAGAUUAGCGUGGCCCCUGAACAAAGAUGACGUGCAAAUUCGUGAAGUGUUCCACAUUUUU